rnacentral:misc_RNA from 1 species
UUUCCGUAGGUGAACCUGCGGAAGGAUCAUUCAUAAUGAGUGUUUUAUGGCACUUUUUUAAAUCCAUAUCCACCUUGUGUGCAAUGUCAGGGUUGACUCUUCUCUCGAGAGGAUCAACCCCAAACAUCAACUAUAUCUCAACUCUUUGUCUGAAAAAUAUUAUGAAUAAAACAAUUCAAAAUACAACUUUCAACAACGGAUCUCUUGGCUCUC